AGGACUGUAGGCAGUUCCUCCAAUGAAGUGCUGUGGUUCCAACGUCGCUGGUUCAACUCCCGCUCAAAGCAAGCCUUGUGUUCAUCUGUCAGCUCCUCCAAAAUUUAAAAACACAAACAAGAUAACUCCUACUUUAUUUUCCAACUGUCAAUUUUUUGUUCACCCAGCCUAAAAGUCCUGAUUAUCAGUUCUGGGUCCCUGGCAAUGACUGUUGGGUACAAACUGAGAAGCUGUGCUCUGAAGGUAGGGCUGGGCUUUUCACUGACCAUGUAGGUGGAUUAGUUGUGUGGGCAAAGUGUGUCAUCAUAGCCACUAUGUUUUCUGCACUUGGAGUAGACAGCACCUUGAUAGCUCAGUUGGUAGCGCAGAGGACUGUAGGCAGUUCCUCCUAUGAAGUGCUGUCGUUCCAGGGUCGCUGGUUCAACUCCCGCUCAAAGCAA